UACGUAGGCAGCAAGCGUUGUUCGGAGUUACUGGGCGUAAAGAGUGCGUAGGCGGUCCUGUAAGUUUGGUGUGAAAUCUCCCGGCCCAACUGGGAGGGUGCGCCGAAGACUGCAGGGCUUGAGUAUGGGAGAGGUAAGCGGAAUUCCUGGUGUAGCGGUGAAAUGCGUAGAUAUCAGGAGGAACACCUGUGGUGUAGACAGCUUACUGGACCAUCACUGACGCUGAGGCACGAAAGCGUGGGUAGCAAACAGG
rnacentral:rRNA from 1 species